GUACCCCCUUCGGCAGCACACAUACUAAAAUUGAAACAAUACAGAAAUUAUUAGAAUGGCCCCUGUGCAAGGAUGACAUGCAAAUUUGUGAAGCGUUCUAUAUUUUU
rnacentral:snRNA from 1 species